rnacentral:rRNA from 1 species
UGAAAAGUCGGGGCAGAAGGCGCGGUAAUAGGUAUGGCGCAAGCGUGAUACGGAGUGUUUGGGCGUAAAGGGCAUCUAGGCGGUCAAUCAAGUAGAAGGUGAAAACGUGUGGCUCAACCAGAAGCUUGCCUACGAAACUGAUGAACUAGAGUACUGGAGAGGUGGACGGAACUACACGAGUAGAGGUGAAAUUCGUAGAUAUGUGUAGGAAUGCCGAUGAUGAAGAUAGUUCACUGGACAGAAACUGACGCUGAAGUGCGAAAGCUAGGGGAGCAAACAGGAUUAGAUACCCUGGUAGUC